CGCGGGGUGGAGCAGUUCGGUAGCUCGUCGGGCUCAUAACCCGAAGGUCGCAGGUUCAAAUCCUGCUCCCGCAACCA
rnacentral:tRNA from 1 species